rnacentral:rRNA from 1 species
UACAGAGGGGGCAAGCGUUGUUCGGAAUUACUGGGCGUAAAGGGCGCGUAGGCGGCCUGCUAAGUCGAACGUGAAAUCCCCGAGCUCAACUCGGGAACUGCGUCCGAUACUGGCAGGCUUGAAUCCGGGAGAGGGAUGCGGAAUUCCAGGUGUAGCGGUGAAAUGCGUAGAUAUCGGGAGGAACAUCAGUGGCGAAGGCGGCCUUCUGGUCCAGUACUGACACUCAAGUGCGAAAGCGUGGGGAGCAAACAGG